rnacentral:rRNA from 1 species
CCUACGGGUGGCAGCAGUGGGGAAUAUUGCACAAUGGGGGAAACCCUGAUGCAGCAACGCCGCGUGAGUGAGGAAGUAUUUCGGUAUGUAAAGCUCUUUUAGCAGGGAAUAGAAAAGAAGGUAUCGGAAAAAGAAGCGCCGGCUAACUACGCUCUAGCAGCGGCGGUAAUACGUAGGGGGCAAGCGUUAUCCGGAUUUACUGGGUGUAACGGGAGGGUAGCCGGAAAGGCAAGUCAGAUGUGAAAACCCAAGGCUCAACCAUGGGACUGCUUGUGAAACUGUCAAACUAGAGUACGGGAGGGGUAAGCGGAAUUCCUGGUGUAGCAGUGAAAUGCGUAGAUAUUAGGAGGAACACCAGUGGCGAAGGCGUGUUACUGGACCGAAACUGACGUUGAGGCUCGAAAGCGUGGGGAGCAAAAAGGAUUAGAUACCCUAGUAGUC